AUUGAACGCUGGCGGAAUGCUUUACACAUGCAAGUCGAACGGCAGCACGGACUUCGGUCUGGUGGCGAGUGGCGAACGGGUGAGUAAUAUAUCGGAACGUAUCCAAUAAUGGGGGAUAACUAAUCGAAAGGUAGGCUAAUACCGCAUACGUCCUACGGGAGAAAGCUAGGGACCUUCGGGCCUGGCGUUAAUGGAGCGGCCGAGAUCGGAUUAGCUCGUUGGUGAGGUAAAGGCUUACCAAGGCGACGAUCCGUAGCUGGUCUGAGAGGACGACCAGCCACACUGGAACUGAGACACGGUCCAGACUCCUAAGGGAGGCACCAGUUGUGAAUUUUGGACAAUGGGCGAAAGCCUGAUCCAGCCAUUCUGCGUGAGUGAAGAAGGCCUUCGGGUUGUAAAGCUCUUUCGCAAGAGAAGAAAACUUACCCUCUAACAUAGGGUGAGGUUGACGGUAUCUUGAUAAGAAGCACCGGCUAACUACGUGCCAGCAGCCACAGUAA
rnacentral:rRNA from 1 species